UGUUCCUUCAAGUACUCGGUUCUUUUUUGUGUUCUUCUGGCUCUUUUCCCUGUGCUGUCCCUCUGGCCCAUGCAGCUCUGGGUGGCAACUCCCACAUCCUCAUAGUGGUAACAGUUGUGGACACCCCAGCCCAGGCUACGACACUGACUCAGGUCUGCCUCGUUUCCCCGGCAGUCCACGUUAUCCAGCGCGAUGAGUCCUGUGCCUUGUCCGA